AUGGCUGUCCUGGUGCUGUUUCUCUGUCUGGCGGCAUUUCCAAGCUGCGCCCUGUCCCAGAAUCAGCUGAAGGAAUCAGGACCAGGCCUGGUUCAGCCCUCACAAACCCUGUCGCUCACCUGCACUGUCUCUGGGUUCUCUAUAACCAGUUAUGGUGUAAGCUGGGUUCGCCAGCCUCCAGGAAAGGGUCUAGAGUGGAUGGGAGCAAUAUGGUAUAAUGGAAAUACUGAUUAUAAUUCAGCUCUCAAGUCCAGAGUCACCAUCACCAGGGACACCUCCAAGAGCCAAGUAUUUUUAAAACUGAACAGUCUGCAAACUGAGGACACAGCCAUGUAUUACUGUGCCAAACCUGCCUUCAGAGGGACUCAUGACCAUCAAGGCACAAUCAGCAAGCCCAAGGAUUCAACUUCAGAACAGACACAAAGAAGAUUAGGGAAUUUUCUCUGCUCUUUCUUCUGA